rnacentral:rRNA from 1 species
UACGUAGGGGGCUAGCGUUGUCCGGAUUUAUUGGGCGUAAAGAGCGUGUAGGCGGCCAUGUAGGUCCGGUGUGAAAACUCGAGGCUUAACCUCGAGAUGUCAUCGGAAACCAUUUGGCUAGAGUCCGGAAGAGGAGAGUGGAAUUCCUGGUGUAGCGGUGAAAUGCGCAGAUAUCGGGAGGAACACCUGAGGCGAAGGCGGGCUACUGGGCCGAUACUGACGCUGAUGCGCGAAAGCCAGGGGAGCGAACGGG